UACCCAAAAUAUCUACAGUGCUUUCUAAUUCCUGCGCUAAACUUUGAAUGAUGCUGUAGGGUAAGUGCCUGACAAUUAGCUUUUUUUGUUGUAAUGUAAGUGCCUGACACUAAGCUUUUGGUUGCCAUUUCACAGACAUCCAUCUCAAAUAAACAUAUUGCCAGCUACACAACCAGAUGAGCCAGGCAGCCCCAGCCAUGGAUUUCCCCUUUUAGAAAGCCCUGAGUGACCUAGAUAACUGACCACUUGAGUGACCCUGAUUCCCUUCCUGUGCUUUAAUUCCUGCUCUUAUGUUUUAAAUUCACCCAUAAAGAGAGAACCCAUGAAACCCUUGGCACCCCACUCUCCACCCCAGUAAAGGCAGAACCCAAGGUCUGUGCUCUCUCCUUACCCAUGACCUCGGUGUGUGGCUUUCGGGCAUGCCGUGUACCCUCCAGGGCUUGUGAGUAAUAAGCCUUGUUUUCUCAAAGUUCCCUGUUGGUUGUUGUGAGGUGCAUCUUGUAAUCAUAGUAAGAGCCACAAGGGCUGGUCCAGCUACAACAUUGGCUCCAGUGUGGGGAGUAGAGGUUCACCACAAGUAGUAGGGCCCAGGCGAGUGCUGCCAGGCAGUCCUAGAAAACAGCAUCCGUAUAGGCUGACACAAAACAGAUACUCAUCAGAUAGCUCACCCUUCCUCACUGGUGAGGAAUAAAGGGGGGCAAGAGGGCAAGAGUCUUUAGGGAAGACUUAAAACCAGAAAGAGGGAAGCAGCAUUUCCCCGUGCCACUCUUCAACACCCAACACUGCACUUUUCGUCAAGUCCCUCCUGCCCCUCCCCACCGAGCUACUUUCUUGGUUAUCUUUCAGGUCUCAGCAAAAACAUGGCCCCCUCCUGGAAGCCUUGUCUGCUCCCCCAGACUAGGUUAGAACCCCCUUACUCACUCUCAUAGCACUCUACCUGCACUUUGUAAUCCUCAGUCUCCUUGUGAUUAUGUCCUGUGUUCCUGGUACAUCGUAGGCCUUCAGUUAUGCAGUGGUUGGCUGGCUGAUUGGCAUUCCAUGGUGGGAAUGGGGAACCAACACAGUGCGCCUCCUCCACAUUGUGAAGUGCAGCCGCUGAGCUGCAGGCUUGGUCUACAUGAGUUUGCGCUAUUGCAGGCAGCUACCUACCUCAUUUGCUGUGACUGGGAUUUCCACAGUCAAUGAUGAUACCCACUUUUUGCCUUAUCUGUUCAUGAAAAUUAGUCACAUUUCCUUAUUUUUAAAAACUUGGCCUUUUCAUUUGUGCUGCUCUCUUUCCAACUCUCUUGGCAGAUGUGGCUCACUGUAGCAGGAUUCUUGGGAACAGUGUCUUCAGUUAUGCCAAGAAGAAUGGCAUUUCUCACAAGGAAGUGUGCCGCUGACUUAGAGCUGUCUGUUGCAAGGUUAGUGGGACUUUAUGGAGGUCCCUAUCUAUGCUGUAGUGUAGAUAACUGAGAAGGUUGUAGAUUGAAUGUGCCAAAACUAAGAGCCUUCUCUGUCUUAAAAUGGAUUUGUCUUAUAACUUGGGCCACUUCAACUGCCCAGAUGGGUCUUCUGUGACUGCACCCCAACCCUGACCUCGUCCCCGGAUUAUGAAAGCUCUCUGUGCUCACAGCACACUUGGUGCAGUCUCUGACAGGACUGACUCCCUCAAAUCAUCAUUAUCUGUUUUUUCACCUGUUUUCCCCGUCAGGUUAUAGAGCUCUUCAAGGGAACAGAGUGUGUCCUGCUCAUCUUUACAUCCCAAGUACUUGACCCAAGGCCUUACACAUAAAGAACACUUGUAUUUCCUAUAAAAGUUUCUGGUGAUUGGAGCUUCUGGAUUGGUGAAUACAUCAAGAUUCUGGGAGGGUGAUGUUCCAGGAGAGGGCAUGGGAGCUCCACGUUCCUCCUCCCAUACCUUGCCCUAUGCAUCUCUUCCACUGUUCCUGAGUUGUAUCCUUUAUAAUAAUAAUAGUCACAGUAAGUAAAGCACUUUCCUGAGUUCUUUGAGUCAUUCUAGUGAAUUAUCGAGUCUUGGAGAGGGGACUGUGGGAACCCCCAAAUUUGUAGCCAAGUCAGAUCCUGUCCACCCUGUUUGCAACUGGUGUCUGAAGUGAGGGCAGUCUUAUGGGACUGAGCCCUUAGCCCUGUGGAGUCUGAUGCUAACUCUGGAUAGUUAGUGUCAGAAUGGAAUUGAAUUGUAGGAUGCCUAGUUGAUGUCAAAGAAUCAGAGAAUUGGCUGUUGUGUGGAAAGCCUCCACACAUUUGGUAUCAGAAGUAUUGUGAGUAAAAACAGCGCUUUUGGUGUUAGAAAAUGUGGGAUUCGCUAAAACAGCCCGUGCCCACUGAAACAUGUGGUUCAGGAAGAAAAAGAAUUAAAGGAUGCAGGAUGAGAAACCUUUGAUUCCUGGGUGGCCACGUGGCCACUCAUAGGGUGGUGCAGCAGCUGUGCUGCAAUAAGUUACUAAAGGUAAAAGUUACUAAGGGAAUGUAGAGUUGGAUCCACUUCCCAGGGAGUUGGUUCAUUGGAUGUAUAAGAAAUACAAGCAAAUAAGAAAAAAGCAAAAUAUACAGUCCGUUGGUUAUUGGUAUCUAUAAUAGCUAAAAUAAAUUAAAAGAGUGCUAGGUCAGAUCUUGAUGCUGAACCAAACUCAGAUUUCGAUCAGUCUGAGCUUCAGUCACUAGCGUCAAAGCCACCUGCAAAAGGAAGGAUUAAGCAAGACAACAGAGAGUACCCCUAAUACCCCUGGUCACCAAGAAGAUGGUCCUCGCUGAGGGAGGGCAAAACCAAAAAACUAUUGAAACCAGGAGGUACAGUGUGAAGGAGCUGUUGAAACCGGAAAACAAUCAUUGACGAUUAAGUAUCUAGGUAUUAAAGUUUUUUCCUUUUUGCAAUUACUGAUUAUAGCUUUUAGCUGUUUCACCCACCCAUUGUUAACUGUGCUGCUUAGGCAAUAUGCUAUCUGACUCCCACUAGGCUCCUACAGAGAACAUCUUCCUGGAGCCUGGGUCACCAUGGUAAUGGGUGUGUGAGCUGUUUUUCAGGAAUUAGAACUCCUUGUCCACUCCAGGCUGGUUGAGACCACCAACUCAUCAACUGGGCCCACAGAGAUGUCCAAUAAGCGACCUUUUGAUGUCAAGACGCUAAAAACUCCACCCUCAGAUCAUGCUAAUAACACCGUCAUUUUGUAAACAUGGGUCCUAUGAAGAGGCAUGAAGUCUGACUACACUUGCGCAGAUCAUCAAUUACCUCAUCUCUCCUCACCUCCAAUCACCUCUCUCCACAUUUCAGACCACCUUGCCCCCCCCAUCCCAUAAAUAUCCCUGAGCCCCUAUUUUCAGGGAAGUGAAUUUGAGGCUCAUGCUCUCGCUUCCUCACAUGGCUGCCUUGUGAGUAAACCCUCUCUCUGCUGCAAUCUUGUCUCAGUGUUUGGCUUUCUUGGUGGCGGGCAAAAACAAACCUGGUUUGGUAACACUGUUGCAUUUGUGGGUUGGUAUCAUCAGCUUCUUGAAGAACCUUUACUGAAGUGAAUUGUGAGAGUGACUAAUCUAGGGGCAGUGUCUUUGGUUUUGAAUGCCGCAGAGUAGAAGAGCAUGUUUGGGCUGAUGUAGGACACACGGCUCACUGUGGAACAAUCGCAGAUGGCUGUACGUGGUCCAGACACAUCCCAGGUUAUUCCCGAGGAAACAGCCAGCCUGAUGUAAUCCACCGGAAGGUCUGUUUACCCUGGGAAGAGGG
rnacentral:lncRNA from 1 species